UGCCUCACUCGCUCUUUUGAUUUGUGUCU
rnacentral:piRNA from 1 species